GGGUCUGUAGCUCAGCUGGUUAGAGCACUCGCCUGAUAAGCGAGAGGUCACCUGUUCGAGUCGGGUCAGACCCA
rnacentral:tRNA from 1 species